UUCUUUCUGCUUUACAAGUCCCCGCCAGGCACACUCCACCCAGCUCCAUACCUGUCUCACGCAUCAGGUUCGGGGGUGGGGAGGGGGCGGUCCCUUAGCUCAUUAAAAAAAAAAAAAAAAGUUCUUUGACUCGAUUUACCUUAGGGGCCAUGGGGUUUAGGAGGACACCGGCCGGCCCCGAAGCCACGCACCCACCCACGCCUUCCUUCGGCGCUCCCGGGAACCUGGGCCAGGAGCCGCGGCGGGCCACCCGCGCCGCGUAGGGGCGGCCUUCCCGCCCUCCCCCGCAGCGCGGGGCCCGCGGGGAGGGGGGUUGGAGGAGGAGGAGGAGGAGGAAGAAGCCCGGACGAGCAGUACCCACCGCGCCCGGAGAGCCAGCCCGGAUCGCCCGCGGCGCCCAGCGCGGUCCGGAGGGGAGGGUCGCGGAGGAGGGGCGGCCCAAGCCCCAAUCUGGAAAUGCCAACUCCGCUCGGCGGCCGGGCCCCAGCCUAGAAGGAAACGGAAGUCCCUUCGCCUCCCUCAGGCGCACCCACCAGCCCGCCCAUCUCCCAGAGGAGCCCCGAGUCGGGGAACCCGAGGACUGGUCCCCUGCAGUACGGCUUGCACAAGGCCAUCUGAGUUAAACCCUUCAACACUGAUUCCCAAACAACAUUAAAACUCCUUAGCUUGAUGUUUACUAUCCUCUUGGACACCUGGACACCUUACUGUGGACUGAAAGAAAACCAACCCCAAAUUAGAAUCUAAAAUGGUGCCUGGCAUAUGGUAGGUACUCAAGACAGAUCAGAUCACCCCUCCGCCUUAAACCCUGAAGAGGCUUCUCACUCGGUAGAGGCAAACACAGGAAGCUGUGGGAAUCCAAACAGCUUCAGGUAGGGGAGAGCAGAUCAGAGCUGGCUCUACACGGGACUUGAGUCUUAAAGGACAACCAAGAGUUAGCUAAGUGACGCAGUGGGAGAAAGUCAUUCUAAUCAAACAUGUCAGCAUGUGCUAACUCAUAGAAGCGGAACAAAACGGCGUGUAGUUGGAGAAUGGCAGUUAAUGCCUUAUGGCCAGGCUAUACCAGCUAGCAUUUAUUGAGUGUUUUUUAUGUUCACCCUGUGUUAAAUGCAUUACAUAGAUGAUCACAUGUAAUCAUCAUGCAAUUCUAGGAAGGUAAUUCUAUUAUCCCCACUUCACAGGUAAGAAAACUGGGGACAAAAAGUUAGGCAGCCUGAGGUCUCAAAACUAGUAAGGCGGAGGUAUGGGUAGAUGGUGAUGUGGGGACGAAUGGAGGCUGACAGAGAGCUGAGCCUCCAGAGAGGCCGUCAGGGCCCAGGUGAAAUCCUUGUGUGGUAGUCUACUUGGGCUGCCAUAACGAAUACCACAGACCGGGUGGCCUACACGACAGAAAUGUAUUUUUUCAUGGUUGUGGAGGCUGCACGUCUGAGAUCAAGGUGUUGGCAGGUUCACUUGCUUCUGAGGUCUGUCCUCUAGGCUUGCAGAUGCUGUCUUCUCUCUGUGUCUAAAUUGACACAGUGUCUUCUUUCUUGUUGUGUCUGUAUCCUAAUCUCCUCUCCUUGAUAAAGACAUCUGUCAUAUUGGAUUAGGGCAUACCCUCAUCACCUCAUUUUAACUUAAUUACCUCUUCAAAGGCCUUAUCUGCAACUACAGCCACAUUCUGAGGUACUGUGGCUUGGGACUGCAACGUGAAUUUGGGGAAGGGGACAAUCCGGUCCAUAACGCCUUGCAUGGCACGUUCAGUCAUUUGGCCUUUAUCACAUAAGGCAGGGGUUCCCAUAUCUGAUGGCGAACCAGAAUCACCUGAACAGAUUUCUGAUGCUACUGAUUCUUGAACACUCCCCACGGCCAUGAUUCAGAGUCAGUAAAGCGAGGUUAUGUUUGGGGGAAACGUAAAGCUUCCCCGCAGUCUCCAGCUGAUUCUGGUGCUGUGUCUAGCUGGGCUGUGUUUGGGGGAAAUCAAUUCCAGGCUGAUUACAGAUAGAAAUGUGAAAGGUAAAACUUUAAUAUUUUCAAAGAAAAUACAAGAGAGUAUAAUUUUAUCACAAGGUAGGAAAUGAUUCCUUAGACUUGUGGUGUUCAUCCUUUUUGCUCUUAUAUCCCUAAAAGAAUUUGGAAAAUUUAUGGAUCCACUUUCACAUGUUUAAUGUGACAUAAAAUCAUUUUCAUUAUAAGUUAAAAUAAUUACAAAGGAUAUACUUUCCAGUACAUUAUAAACAUUUUAUUUUUUUUUAAGUAAUCUCCACACCCAACAUGGGGUUUGAACUCACAUAUCCAACAUCAAGAGCCACACAGUCCACCGACUGAGCCAGCCAGGUGCCCCUCCAGUGUAUUAUAAAUGUUGGCAUAAAACCCAAAUCUAUCAUUAAUUUAAAUGAAUUUUAAAUAUCAUAGUGAUUUGAUACCCACUGUCAUCCACUUGAAAAUCAAAGGAAAAAGCUCUUCUUUAGGUGCCAGAAAGUUUAUAUCUACUUUUGUCUUUAAUUCAUUUAUCCAUUCCACUUCCACCAUAGAAUUUUAUUUAAUGUGAUAUAUUUUUAUGCUUUCAAGUCUUUUAUUGAUCACCCUAUCAUAGGUCUU